AUGGGGGCAGGAUUGGUCAGGAGG
rnacentral:miRNA from 1 species